rnacentral:rRNA from 1 species
AUGGUGUCAUGCUCUGCUAAGCUCGGCUUUGAUGCUUAUUUGUUUUGCAUUUGUGGCGAUGCCAUUAUUUCCCUUCUACUGACCUUUUUGAAGCUUUUGAUCGUUUUUAUCCUGUUUAACGAAUCUAUGCCACUACACUGCACUCAAACACUCGCCUCAAUGAAUACAAUCUUUUGGCACACAUCUAAAUUCUUCCACCUAGGAGGAGAUACUUCUCACUUCAUGAAUACUGGGCAUGGUGCACUUCCUUUUAACAAUAGCCUAUCGACCUUUUUUGCCGUCAUCAAAUGCACCCCUCAACCCUUGUCGAAAGACAUUUUUCUUUUCUUGUUUGGAAUUGAUGCAUCAAAUGUGCCGACAAUUGUUUUUGGGGUAAAGAAGAAAAGAAAAAUAUUUUUUUGA